GAUGAAGAACGUAGCGAAAUGCGAUAAGUAGUGUGAAUUGCAGAAUUCAGUGAAUCAUCGAAUCUUUGAACGCACAUUGCGCCCCUUGGUAUCCCGAGGGGCAUUCCUGUUCGAGCGUCAUUUCACCACUCAAGCCUGGCUUGGUGUUGGGCGACGUCCUCUUUGGGGACGCGCCUCGAAACGCUCGGCGGCGUGGCACCGGCUUUAAGCGUAGCAGAAUCUUUCGCUUUGGAAGUCGGGGCCCCGUCUGCCGGAAGACCUGCUCGCAAGGUUGACCUCGGAUCAGGCAGGGAUACCCGCUGAACUUAAGCAUAUCAAUAAGCGGAGGA
rnacentral:misc_RNA from 1 species